CCUACGGGAGGCAGCAGUGAGGAAUAUUGGUCAAUGGACGAGAGUCUGAACCAGCCAAGUAGCGUGAAGGAUGACUGCCCUAUGGGUUGUAAACUUCUUUUAUAUGGGAAUAAAACGUUCCACGUGUGGGAUUUUGUAUGUACCAUAUGAAUAAGGAUCGGCUAACUCAGUGCCAGCAGCCGCGGUAAUACGGAGGAUCCGAGAGUUAUCCGGAUUUAUUGGGUUUAAAGGGAGCGUAGGUGGAUUGUUAAGUCAGUUGUGAAAGUUUGCGGCUCAACCGUAAAAUUGCAGUGGAAACUGGCAGUCUUGAGUACAGUAGAGGUGGGCGGAAUUCGUGGUGUAGCGGUGAAAUGCUUAGAUAUCACGAAGAACUCCGAUUGCGAAGGCAGUUCACUGGACUGCAACUGACACUGAGGCUCGAAAGUGUGGGUAUCAAACAGGAUUAGAUACCCUGGUAGUC
rnacentral:rRNA from 1 species